rnacentral:rRNA from 1 species
ACGAACGCUGGCGGCGUGCCUAAUACAUGCAAGUCGAGCGAGCGGAACUAACAGAUUUACUUCGGUAAUGACGUUAGGAAAGCGAGCGGCGGAUGGGUGAGUAACACGUGGGGAACCUGCCCCAUAGUCUGGGAUACCACUUGGAAACAGGUGCUAAUACCGGAUAAGAAAGCAGAUCGCAUGAUCAGCUUUUAAAAGGCGGCGUAAGCUGUCGCUAUGGGAUGGCCCCGCGGUGCAUUAGCUAGUUGGUAAGGUAAAGGCUUACCAAGGCGAUGAUGCAUAGCCGAGUCGAGAGACUGAUCGGCCACAUUGGGACUGAGACACGGCCCAAACUCCUACGGGAGGCAGCAGUAGGGAAUCUUCCACAAUGGACGCAAGUCUGAUGGAGCAACGCCGCGUGAGUGAAGAAGGUUUUCGGAUCGUAAAGCUCUGUUGUUGGUGAAGAAGGAUAGAGGUAGUAACUGGCCUUUAUUUGACGGUAAUCAACCAGAAAGUCACGGCUAACUACGUG